GAGAACUAGGAGGCCAGUGUGGUUGGAGUACAGUAAGCAAGAGCAAAAGUAAAAGGACUUGAGAUUAUAGAAAUAGCUGGGCUGCUCUGGGCCGGGCGUGGUGGC